rnacentral:rRNA from 1 species
GAUGAACGCUGGCGGCGUGCCUAACACAUGCAAGUCGAACGAAGCACCUUACCUGAUUCUUCGGAUGAAAGUUUGGUGACUGAGUGGCGGACGGGUGAGUAACGCGUGGGUAACCUGCCCUGUACAGGGGGAUAACAGCUGGAAACGGCUGCUAAUACCGCAUAAGCGCACGAGGAGACAUCUCCUUGUGUGAAAAACUCCGGUGGUACAGGAUGGGCCCGCGUCUGAUUAGCUGGUUGGCAGGGUAACGGCCUACCAAGGCAACGAUCAGUAGCCGGUCGGAGAGGAUGAACGGCCACAUUGGAACUGAGACACGGUCCAAACUCCUACGGGAGGCAGCAGUGGGGAAUAUUGCACAAUGGGGGAAACCCUGAUGCAGCAACGCCGCGUGAGUGAAGAAGUAUUUCGGUAUGUAAAGCUCUAUCAGCAGGGAAGAUAAUGACGGUACCUGACUAAGAAGCUCCGGCUAAAUACGUG